CUUGCACAAUCCGUAUCAUACAAUAUUUUGAUGCUCCAUUGUAUCCAUAUCAUUUCGAAUCCUCCUUAACUGUAGAUGCCUCUUUUCUUGUCUUCUUGUGAAUGGAUGCGAUAUUAGUCUCGGUGCAGUCCACUCAAGCUAAUAAUGCAGACUCUUUGAAAGAUGGAAGGUAAAUGCAUAUGACUGCUCAUAAUGUAUAAUAGUAUAACAGUCAUCAACGAAUUACUUUCAGUCUAAGUUCUUGUUGGCACAAACAGCAAACAAGUAGGAGCAUGGAUAAUGCAGUAACUGUCACUUCUUACAUGUGUAUGUGCGUACUCCUAAAUCGAUUGUCUGUAUAUAAUCAGGUUCAUCGGGGCUGUAAUGCCUUCGUCUCAAUCAAAUCUCAUACAAAUCCGGUUGGUUAUUGUACUUAAUCAUACAAUGCUCCCUGGACUUUAGCUGUCAUGCAUUUAACUUUUUUCCAAUCUUAUCUGUGAAUAUCUUGCAGGCCUCCCUUCUUCGUGCUGCAAUUGCACAUCUGACACUGAACCACUUUGACAAGUGUUUGAAAGAAAGACGAACAUGAGCGAUAAUGGGCAAUGAGCGAGCCUUCUUCAAUACCUUAUUGAAGCUUUCAGAUAGAUUGAUAUUCAUUAUUCCAUACCUAUAUCUACCUGUGUUAUGUAUCAGUGUCCAUUUACUCAGAUCAUCAAGUAGAUAUGUUUUUAGAUAUUGAAAGUAAUUGGGUCAUAUUCUCUCAAUAUGUUGC
rnacentral:lncRNA from 1 species